AUGAUAGGCCCCUCCCACUUUUCACAGCCUGCUCUAUUUGCCAUAGCAAUGUGCUUCCAUCUAAUAAGAUUCAUCCUACAGUGUUUUCAAGUCAACACGACAUAUCGUCUGUCCGCUACAGCUGCUCGUGUAGGACGACCACAGAAGCGGCGCCCUCUGAGAACGCAAGGCAUUAUGGGAAUUUGCUCCCCUCUGUGUAGGUUCAUCCUACAAUGUUUUGAAGUCAACACGACAUAUCGUCUGUCCGCUACAGCUGCUCGUGUUGGACGACCACAGCAGCGGCACCCUCUGAGAACGCAAGGCAUUCGUGCUGAUGGCGAAGGAUUUUCCUGUCAUGAUAGGCCCCUCCCACUUUUCACAGCCUGCUCUAUUUGCCAUAGCAAUGUGCUUCCAUCUAAUAAGAUUCAUCCUACAGUGUUUUGA
rnacentral:lncRNA from 1 species